AACUUUCGGCAACGGAUCACUUGGUUCUGGCAUCGAUGAAGAACGCAGCGAGAUGCGAUAAGUAAUGUGAAUUGCAGAAUUCAGUGAAUCAUCGAAUCUAUGAACGCACAUUGCGCCCGCCAGUAUUCUGGCGGGCAUGCCUGUUCGAGCGUCAUUUCAACCAUCAAGCCCCAGGCUUGUGUUGGGGCCCUGCGGCUGCCGCAGGCCCUGAAAAACAGUGGCGGGCUCACUGUCACACCGAGCGUAGUAAUACAUCUCGCUUUGGACGUGCGGCGGGUUCUUGCCGGUAAACACCCCCCUUCUCAAGGUUGACCUUGGAUCAGGUAGGAAUACCCGCUGAACUUAAGCAUAUCAAUAAGCGGAGGCU
rnacentral:misc_RNA from 1 species